rnacentral:rRNA from 1 species
UACGGAGGGUGCAAGCGUUAUCCGGAUUCACUGGGUUUAAAGGGUGCGUAGGCGGGCAGGUAAGUCCGUGGUGAAAUCCCCGAGCUUAACUCGGGACUGCCAUGGAUACUAUUUGUCUUGAAUAUUGUGGAGGUAAGCGGAAUAUGUCAUGUAGCGGUGAAAUGCUUAGAUAUGACAUAGAACACCAAUUGCGAAGGCAGCUUACUACACAGUUAUUGACGCUGAGGCACGAAAGCGUGGGGAUCAAACAGG